UACGUAGGGGGCAAGCGUUGUCCGGAAUCAUUGGGCAUAAAGCGCGCGUAGGCGGCCCGGUAAGUCCGCUGUAAAAGUCCAGGGCUCAACCCUGGAAAGCCGGUGGAUACUGUCGGGCUAGAGUCCGGAAGAGGCGAGUGGAAUUCCUGGUGUAGCGGUGAAAUGCGCAGAUAUCAGGAGGAACACCUAUUGCGAAGGCAGCUCGCUGGGACGUAACUGACGCUGAGACGCGAAAGCGUGGGGAGCGAACAGG
rnacentral:rRNA from 1 species